UUCAGAUUCACAAUAUAGGACUUUAUAUCUUGUUUAGCUUGGACCACAAUUAGCUGAAAGAAGAGCUCUUGAGCUGGUUUAAAGCCAACAGUCUUAACUUCCCCAGGUGUAGUUAAUUGUUACUCAACAUAGCUUAACAUUGGUGAGCUAAAUGGCAGGUGGGAAGCUUUUGUAAUCAACAGCAGAGCAGCUGCUCCUUCCUUCCUUCCUUCCUUCCUUCCUUCCUUCCUUCCUUCCUUCCUUCCUUCCCUCCUUCCCUCCUUCCCUCCUUCCCUCCUUCCCUCCUUCCCUCCUUCCCUCCUUCCCUCCUUCCUUCCCUCCCUCCCCAUCUGUCCAGAAGGCUUUGAGAAGCAGCUUUCUCUUAUAUUUUGCAAAAUGGAUAAAGACAAGCAAAUAACCCAAAGACAACUCCAGUUCUCGUGGACCCACCCAAAUAAACACAGAACUCCGCCCAACCUAUUACAGAAAUGGAGAUCCAAGAAGCAAGCUUUUCAGGUGACAUAG
rnacentral:lncRNA from 1 species